rnacentral:rRNA from 1 species
AUUGAACGCUGGCGGCAGGCCUAACACAUGCCAGUCGAACGGUAACAGGAAGAAGCUUGCUUCUUUGCUGACGAGUGGCGGACGGGUGAGUAAUGUCUGGGAAACUGCCUGAUGGAGGGGGAUAACUACUGGAAACGGUAGCUAAUACCGCAUAACGUCGCAAGACCAAAGAGGGGGACCUUCGGGCCUCUUGCCAUCGGAUGUGCCCAGAUGGGAUUAGCUAGUAGGUGGGGUAACGGCUCACCUAGGCGACGAUCCCUAGCUGGUCUGAGAGGAUGACCAGCCACACUGGAACUGAGAGACGGUCCAGACUCCUACGGGAGGCAGCAGUGGGGAAUAUUGCACAAUGGGCGCAAGCCUGAUGCAGCCAUGCCGCGUGUAUGAAGAAGGCCUUCGGGUUGUAAAGUACUUUCAGCGGGGAGGAAGGGAGUAAAGUUAAUACCUUUGCUCAUUGACGUUACCCGCAGAAGAAGCACCGGCUAACUCCGUG